UUGAAUAGCAGAAAUUUUUCCAGCCAUCAAAUUUCUUUUUCUUUAGAAAUUUUGAAGUUUCUGACAUACUCUUUGUAAGAAUUUCAAAAUUCUCAUCAGUGGAACAUUGACAGUAUGUAAUUUCAGCAUAUUUUCUUCUCUUUACUGCCACAGUACAUUCGUUAUCCCACCAAGGAGGAGAAGGAAUAAAACCCAAAGAGCUAUUUUUACUUGGAAAUAUCUCAUUGGUAACCUCAAUAAAGAUUCUUGCUAAAGAAUCUGCACACUGAGAUUCUGUACCUGGAUUAAUUUUUGGAAGUGUUGGAAAUGAUAAUAAUAGUGGGAAGUGAUCACUACCAAAAGUAGAUCGUAAUGGAUCCCAGGACAAAGAAGAAGCAAGAUUAGGUGUAGUGACUGUUAAAUCUGGAGCACUUGGGCCCUCGUCAGGAUGAGAACGUCGUGUAGGACGACCAUCAUUUAAUAUACACAAAUUCACUGAAUCAAAUAUAUCUAUUAAUGUGUUACCAUAACUAUUAGAAGAUAAGUAACCCCAGGAUUCAUGGCGACAAUUAAAAUCACCAAGGAUCAUAAAAGGCUUCGGAAGAAUGGAAAUAAUAUCUUUAAUUUCAUUUAAGAUUGAAGAAGAAGGAUGAGGUAUAUAAAUAGAUACAUAACAGAUAUUUUCAACUAAAGCAGCAAUAAUAGAAAAAUCAUUACUGUGAGAAGGAAUAGAGAAGAGAGAAAAGGAAAGAGGGUGUUUCACAAGCAUGGCUACUCCGCCAUGCCCAUCCACACGAUCUUCUCUGAGACAUGAAUAACCACGAAUCUUAAAUAAAGAUCCUGGUUUCAACCAUGUCUCUUGAAGAGCACAGAUAUAAGGUUUAUAUUUAUUUAAUAAAUAAAUAAGAUCACUUUUUUUAGGAGUGAUGCUUUGACAAUUCCAUUGAAGAACUUUGUCCAUUAUUUGGUUUAUAAAUUUGAGUAAUUGCAGAAACUAAUAAGGCAGCGUUGGACGGUGAAAAUUCAUUCGAUUGACUAAGAGAUUUUAUAAGAGAAAUAAUUAAAUCAAUUACUGAGGAUUCCAAA